CCUACGCGUGGCAGCAGUGGGGAAUAUUGCGCAAUGGGCGAAAGCCUGACGCAGCGACGCCGCGUGAGGGAUGAAGGUCUUCGGAUUGUUAACCUCUGUUAGCAGGGAAGAACGGUCACUGUGCUAAUCAGCAGUGAAUUGACGGUACCUGCAAAGGAAGCACCGGCUAACUCCGUGCCCGCCGCCGCGGUAAUACGGAGGGUGCGAGCGUUAAUCGGAAUUACUGGGCGUAAAGCGCUCGUAGGCGGUAUGUUAAGUCAAGGGGGAAAUCCCCGCGCUCAACGUGGGAACUGCCUUUGAAACUGGCGAACUGGAGAGUGUAAGAGGAAAGUGGAAUUCCAGGUGUAGGAGUGAAAGCCGUAGAUAUCU
rnacentral:rRNA from 1 species